rfam:Cryptococcus bestiolae CBS 10118 unplaced genomic scaffold supercont1.4, whole genome shotgun sequence.
AUCUACGGCCAUAGAAUCCAGAAAACAUCGUAUCCCGUCAGCUCUGCGCAAUGAACCUGGAUAUCGCUCGGGUAGUACCAAGCUGGGGGACCACUUGGGAACACAGAGUGCUGUAGUUU